UACGCAAAUGACAAAUAUUCAGAUGAGGGGAAGGGCCUCGGUAGAUGGGAAAACAAAGCCAGAUCGGUGCAGAUCGCUGCAGAUAGGGCGACAUAUAUGCAAAUUGGCCGAUCGUGGGUGGAGACAACACUCCAAACAGGAGGAGCGGCGGAGCUGAGGUCCGCCACAUAUUUGCGAUUGGCGUUGCCUGAAAAAGAAGUUCAACAACGAGGAAAAAAAGGAAUUCCUCAAGCCUAUUAAAGAUUAUUGGCCUGGUGCGAAGUCAGCAACGCCCACGAGGCACGCCCAUGUGCGGCAAGGCGGGAGCAUUCAAGUGUUGCACAACAAAGUGUGAAGAAAGAUCCGGAAAAGAACCCAACGAAUCAGGAAUACCCUAACAACAACUAGAGCGACUUGUGCCAUAUAUGCAUAAGGGAUCUAUGUUGUUAAGCAAACAGGCUAAUCUCUGUUAAAAACAUCUGCUGUUGGCUCCAAAGUUCAACAUUCAACGUGGAACACCCACUCAAGUUAGGGCAAACGAUGGGUCUCCUCGUAAUUCCUUGGAAAAAGGGUAAAACACAUUUUGUCAGCCUGACUGAUUGACGGUAGCGCUGAAAGCAGUUGUCCGUCAGCAGCCCCAGCCACACCAGAGAACUCAGAGCCGAGAGCCGAGAACAUCGAGGGGCAGAAGCCCGGACUUAGAGCUGAGAAAUGAAAUGCAAAUGCAGACAUAACCAGCCAGGGGCCAUAAAUAAGAUGCGACGAGAGACAGAUCCGAACCGAACGGAACGGAACGGAACCCCAGAACGGCAGCCCAACACCAACAGCAAAGAGCAGAGUGAUACGAGGCGGCAGCAAGAUGCAAACCUGUUGACAGGCUAACACACUUCUGGAGCUUUUAGCUCAAACGAAAGCCAAAGCAUUCGCAAGAAAACACCAGCAAGGAGCACACCAACACUCGACACCAACACUGAAAUACUCCAACAAAGAACUUCACCAACAGCAAGGAAUACCGCAUCUAACAGCCAACUCAACAAAGAGCUUCACCAACAAAAGGCUACACCAACAACAAGUACAGAAAUUACACCAACAUCACCAAAGAGCAUACAACAAGAAACUCCAGUGAUUUCUCAACAACAACAACUCGAGCCACCAACAGAAAAGCUCCGCAGCAGAAAGAACAUCCAAUCCGACCCCUUCGCAUGGCCCCAUGGACUGACGUGUUACGCCGAUAAGCAUUCUUGUAAUUUGACUUUAAUAGCCACAACGACAGGCGGCAUGCGGCAUGUGGCACGAGGAGUAGAAGACAGGGAAGAGUGAGCGUACAAAGAGAGAGAACGAGCGAGAAAGUAGGGAAAAGGAAAUGAGCAAACGCUCUAACGUAAUGGUAACAGUAUCCGAGAUUCUCAUUUCUAUUUAUAAAUUGUAAGAAAUACAAAACACGAA